rnacentral:rRNA from 1 species
UAUAUCAUCAGAACUGUGGGGACACAGGGCGAUAACCAGACCCGGGAAUGAAAAGACCGGGGCAAGCGAAGAAGGAGUUAAGCCGGCAAAUCCGCUUAACAAUCCGAAGACGUGAUGCGGACCGAACAAAAGUAGGGAAGCUGGAGAUUCGAACUGUCAAGAAAAGCCGCUAUUGUGUGAUAUGUGCCCGUACCGUAAACCGACACAGGUGGAUGAGGAGAGAAUCUUAAGGCCGGCGGGAGAAGCAUUGUUAAGGAACUCGGCAAAAUGACCCUGUAACUUCGGGAUAAAGGGUGCCUGCGCAAGCAGGCCGCAGAGAAUAGGCUCAAGCAACUGUUUAGCAAAAACACAGGUCUAUGCAAAACCGAAAGGUGAGGUAUAUGGGCUGACGCCUGCCCGGUGCUGGAAGGUUAAGAGGAGAGGUUAGAGCAAUCGAAGCUUUGAAUUUAAGCCCCAGUAAACGGCGGCCGUAACGAUAACGGUCCUAAGGUAGCGAAAUUCCUUGUCGGGUAAGUUCCGACCCGCACGAAAGGCGUAAUGAUUUGAGCGCUGUCUCGACAAUGCACCCGGUGAAAUUGAAAUACCAGUGAAGAUGCUGGUUACCUGCGCCAGGACGGAAAGACCCCAUGGAGCUUUACUCAGCUUGAUACUGGGAUUCGGUUAUACAUGUACAGGAUAGGUGGGAGGCUAAGAAGUGAGGACGCCAGUCUUCACGGAGCCGCUGUUGGGAUACCACCCUUGUGUGACUGGGUUUCUAACCUGCAGCCGUGACCCGGCUGGGGGACAAUGUCAGGUGGGGAGUUUGACUGGGGCGGCCGCCUCCGAAAGGGUAUCGGAGGCGCUCAAAGGUUCCCUCAGAAUGGUUGGAAACCAUUUGCAGAGUGCAAAGGCAUAAGGGAGCUUGACUGCGAGACCGGCGGGUCGAGCAGGUAGGAAACUAGGACUUAGUGAUCCGGUGGUAUAAAGUGGGAUUGCCAUCGCUCAACGGAUAAAAGCUACCCUGGGAUAACAGGCUUAUCACUCCCAAGAGUUCACAUCGACGGAGUGGUUUGGCACCUCGAUGUCGGCUCAUCGCAUCCUGGGGCUGAAGUAGGUCCCAAGGGUUGGGCUGUUCGCCCAUUAAAGCGGUACGCGAGCUGGGUUCAGAACGUCGUGAGACAGUUCGGUCCCUAUCCGGCGUGGGCGUAGGAUAUUUGAGAGGAGCUGUCCUUAGUACGAGAGGACCGGGAUGGACUGACCUCUGGUGCAUCGGUUGAGAAUCAAUCUCAUGGCCGAGUAGCCAAGUCGGGACGGGAUAAACGCUGAAGGCAUCUAAGCGUGAAGCCUCCCUCAAGAUGAGAUAUCCCAUACGCAAGUAGUAAGACCCCUUGAAGACGACGAGGUAGAUAGGGCAGAGGUGGAAGCGUGGUAACACGUGCAGCUGACUGUCACUAAUAGGUCGAGGGCUUAGC